rnacentral:lncRNA from 1 species
UGGAUAUCAUCAUAUGAUUUUGUUGAGCUUGUAUAAGCUAGGGUUUCAUUUUGGAGCCAUUUCAUCAAGAGGUUGAGGCUCAAAUUCAUCUGUGCAUGGCCAAGUCAUCUAUCAACUGCAAAAGUCAACUGUCAAGUCAACUGUUGGAUUUGGAGGUGGGAGGUGAUUAGAAACACUUAAUUCAUGUUCAAACAAAUCUCAUUUGACAUUUCAAACAUCAACAUUGAAGAAAAUAAAGUCAGGUCAAAACUUUCCAAAAAUAGUAAGUGACCUAUAAUUUGAAUUUGC